CCGGAUCUUCCUGUCAUUGCUUC
rnacentral:snRNA from 1 species